rnacentral:lncRNA from 1 species
GCAAAUUUUAGUGUUCCUAAUUGCUGUCCAUGCGUAUGUUGAAUGUCUCGGUGAUUCUCAUCGUCAAAGUUCUCCGGGCAUGAGGACUGGGUUCUAUAUGUACCAUCUAUUCAAGCUUUAACAUAGUGCAGCAUAAUGACCGCAAGGUAAACCAAGCAAUAGACAAGGAUUGAAAAGAUGGUGAUUUUCUGCUAUUGUUGUUACUGAACAUUUAAUUUGGUUAGACAUUCUAAAGCUUUACUGCUUUUUCAUAAGGUUAAUCCUAAAAUUUUCUGCGAUUUGCUGUCAAUUCUAUGCAAAUAGCCUCUCGUCUAGUUCCAGUUCUCUGAGUGCCCAUUUUCUUUUGAAGUUCUGUGUUUUUCUUAGCAUUUGUAGUUUAAUCCAAUUCAUGGUACUGGCCCAUCUUCCUUUGACUUUUUCAUUGUCACGUCUAUAUUCAGAGACGGUGGCAGAAUUUCAAGUUUAUGGGUUAUGGGUUCUGCAUUCGCAAUCCAACCCAUAGCUUGUUAGUUACUGGGUUCGCAAUUAAGUAUUUAUACAUAUUUAAUAGAUUUUCUAAUACAAAUAUAAUGUCUAAACAAAAAGCUACUGGGUUCGUUUGAACCCGUAGGUAACACUCUCCCUCCGCCCCAGUCUCUAUUAGAUGUAAACACAUCGUAGCUCUAACUAAUUCAGAGGUUUUUAUAUGGCAAUAGCUACUCUGUUAUAAUGAAAGUAUUUGUGCUAAUUGCUAAAUAUCAAGGUGCAAAUUAAAAAAUAUUGUAAUAGCAUUCAAUUAGUGAUACAACAAAUUUGUUAUUUGCAAAGCAAUCAAAACAUCUGAAGGCCACGACUGCUCCAACUUUUAGAAAGUAAUGCUAUUGACAAUUAUCUCUGCUAAGAUCCCUCCCCUCUUACCCUCUUCUUAUUUUUGGCAUUUGAAGAACACUGAACUCCUACAGCUGGGCUUCUGACGGUGUGUUGUCAUUUUUGUCUCUCUGGCCAUCAGGCUCUGUUGAUCUGUACUUGUAGCGGGUAGCCCAGAGGAGAUAAUGUAGGAAAUUUAUUCCACUUAAUAUGCACAUCAACCAAUAAAACCUUUCAAGGUGAUAAUGAUUCAAAUUACUCCCGUAAAGCCAUGGCGUU